CAGGGACCAGGCCUGGAGGGCCUACCCAGCCCUCCCCUGGGUAAAACCCAGGCCGAUGGGUUCGGAGGCCGAAACCCACGUAUUGGUAUGUGUAGUAGGUCAGGGAUUACGCCGGUACCUCGAUGAUAGCCGGUCCCCUGGGGCGUCCACGCCGUAGCCGGUCAACCGUAGGGUUGACUGGUUACGGAACCCGGCGAACCGGGUUAGGCCCGGGAGGGAGCGGCCCUAAGUCGGGGUGGGCGCGUUCAGGGGGUUGCCGGUUGGAGAAUGGGCCGGCGUAAUCCCUGACCUACUACACAUACCAAUACGUGGGGUUGGGUCCCGC
rnacentral:SRP_RNA from 1 species